rnacentral:rRNA from 1 species
CAGCAGCCGCGGGAAAACGUAGGUGGCAAGCGUUGUCCGGAAUUAUUGGGCGUAAAGGGCUCGCAGGCGGUUUCUUAAGCCUGAUGUGAAAGCCCCCGGCUCAACCGGGGAGGGUCAUUGGAAACUGGGAAACUUGAGUGCAGAAGAGGAGAGUGGAAUUCCACGUGUAGCGGUGAAAUGCGUAGAGAUGUGGAGGAACACCAGUGGCGAAGGCGACUCUCUGGUCUGUAACUGACGCUGAGGAGCGAAAGCGUGGGGAGCGAACAGGAUUAGAUACCCCAGUAGUCCCUGUCUCUUAUAC